ACCAGAAGAUAGACAACCUAUCAGAUACAGAGUUCAAACACUGAAGAACUGAAGGCUAUAUAAAGUUAAAUAAAGACAAAUAUACAGGGGACCAACAGGGAAAGAAUGGAAACUGUGACUCAAUUCAACGAUGUGGAACAGAAGGAAAAAAUAAACAUUCAACCACAACAAAAUGAAGAAACAAGAAUU